rnacentral:tRNA from 1 species
CAUUAGAUGGCUGAAAGUAAGCAAUGAAAUUUUAAAUCAUAUUAUAGUAUAUUAACACCUACUUCUAAUGA